rnacentral:rRNA from 1 species
UUUUUAUGAGAGUUUGAUCCUGGCUCAGGACGAACGCUGGCGGCGUGCCUAAUACAUGCAAGUCGAACGCUUCUUUUUCCACCGGAGCUUGCUCCACCGGAAAAAGAGGAGUGGCGAACGGGUGAGUAACACGUGGGUAACCUGCCCAUCAGAAGGGGAUAACACUUGGAAACAGGUGCUAAUACCGUAUAACAAUCGAAACCGCAUGGUUUUGAUUUGAAAGGCGCUUUCGGGUGUCGCUGAUGGAUGGACCCGCGGUGCAUUAGCUAGUUGGUGAGGUAACGGCUCACCAAGGCCACGAUGCAUAGCCGACCUGAGAGGGUGAUCGGCCACAUUGGGACUGAGACACGGCCCAAACUCCUACGGGAGGCAGCAGUAGGGAAUCUUCGGCAAUGGACGAAAGUCUGACCGAGCAACGCCGCGUGAGUGAAGAAGGUUUUCGGAUCGUAAAACUCUGUUGUUAGAGAAGAACAAGGAUGAGAGUAACUGUUCAUCCCUUGACGGUAUCUAACCAGAAAGCCACGGCUAACUACGUGCCAGCAGCCGCGGUAAUACGUAGGUGGCAAGCGUUGUCCGGAUUUAUUGGGCGUAAAGCGAGCGCAAGCGGUUUCUUAAGUCUGAUGUGAAAGCCCCCGGCUCAACCGGGGAGGGUCAUUGGAAACUGGGAGACUUGAGUGCAGAAGAGGAGAGUGGAAUUCCAUGUGUAGCGGUGAAAUGCGUAGAUAUAUGGAGGAACACCAGUGGCGAAGGCGGCYCUCUGGUCUGUAACUGACGCUGAGGCUCGAAAGCGUGGGGAGCAAACAGGAUUAGAUACCCUGGUAGUCUACGCCGUAAACUAUGAGUGCUACGUGUUCGCGGCUUUCGGUCCUUCAGUGCUGCAGCUAACGCAUUAAGCACUCCGCCUGGG